AGGGGAAUAGCUCAGUUGGUAGAGCAGCGGUCUCCAAAACCGCGUGCCGUGGGUUCAAGUCCUACUUCCCCUGCCA
rnacentral:tRNA from 1 species